GACGUAGGGGGCAAGCGUUGUUCGGAUUUACUGGGCGUAAAGCGCACGUAGGCGGAUCGUUAAGUCAGGGGUGAAAUCCUGGAGCUCAACUCCAGAACUGCCUUUGAUACUGGCGAUCUUGAGUCCGGAAGAGGUGAGUGGAACUCCUAGUGUAGAGGUGGAAUUCGUAGAUAUUAGGAAGAACACCAGUGGCGAAGGCGGCUCACUGGUCCGGUACUGACGCUGAGGUGCGAAAGCGUGGGGAGCAAACAGG
rnacentral:rRNA from 1 species